GAGAUGUGGGUUAGUCCGCACGAGCGCACCUCACUUUUAGUUGCCAUCAUUAAGUUGGGCACUCUGAAAGAACUGCCAGUGAUAAGCUGGAGGAAGGUGGGGAUGACGUCAAGUCCUCAUGGCCCUUACGUGUUGGGCUACACACGUGCCACAAUGGCAUCUACAACAGGAAGCAAAACGGCAACGUUAAGCAAAUCCCGAAAAGAUGCCUCAGUUCGGAUUGCACUCUGCAACUCGAGUGCAUGAAGCUGGAAUUACUAGUAAUCGUGGAUCAGCGUGCCACGGUGAAUGCGUUCCCGGGUCUUGUACACACCGCCCGUCACACCAUGGGAGUUGGUUCUACCUUAAGGCAAGGCUUUAAACCCUUGACCACGGUAUAGUCAGCGACUGGGGUGAAGUCGUAACAAGGUAGCCGUAGGGGAACCUGCGGCUGGAUUACCUCCUUUCU
rnacentral:rRNA from 1 species